GCAUCCAAGGAGAGUGUGGGCAGCUGGAGCCAGGUCCUCCUCCUCCUCCUUCUCCUCUUCUUCCUCCUUCGUUUCUUCCUUUCCUCCUCCACCUGCCUAUUGCAGAGCAGCAGAAAGCAAAGGAGCUAGAAAAGGGUGAAAUCAAUUCUUUUUCUGUAACCUUUUUGCUUUGCUUUUAUUAAGUUCUUAAGGCUUUUGGUCUUGAGUCCUAGAUAAGAUGCAAAUAAUUCUGAAGGGAUCAUAACUUUUAAUAUUAUCAGUGGAUAUUUAAGAAAAAAAUAAAACCAUAAGAUAGACUGAUAGAUAGUAGAGAAUAAAAAGAAGAUUCAGGAGAGGCCAUGGGGAGGCAAAGGAAGAGAAAGGAGUGGAGAGUGUGCAUGAGUGUGUGUGAGUGUGUGUGUGUAUGAGUGCAUGUGAGAGAGAGAGGGUGGGGGAGGGAGGGAGAGAGAGAGUGAGAGAGGGAGAAAGAGUGGAAAUUCUAGAAAGAAAUUGCCUCUUCUUCUGUUCAACUACUUCACUGUUUUGUCAAAAGUUAGCACUGCCUCUAAGGUCUCCUGCAACUCACCCACCCACCCCUCUUACUCCAUGGUAUUCAACUUCUAAACUAAGAGGAAAGCCCGAGCUAGAGGUCCUAUGCAUCAAUCAGGGAAGAGAUAUUGAGAAGAAUAAACAGAGAAACUGUAUUUUUUCUCUCAACUAAAACAUCCAUUUUAAUCAAUAUUUGGCAAGAAAAUAUAUACCUGUUUCAUCUUCACUGGUUAUUUCCAUAAACUGGAAAGAAGGACUGUCUAAAUGGUAGUUAUGUCCCAUGAGAUGUUUAAGCAAAAGGGAAAAUUAUACAAAAAAGAAUGCCAUAUUUUGUCUGCGCCACCAGAAUGACAAUAAAAAUUUAUCAUGCUAGAAAGUAAUGCCGUGGUAUCCAAACAGACGGUGGAGAAGAAAAAUGCCCCCCACCCCUGUGGGCAGAACUUCUGGCAGUGCAUCUGGUUGUGUACUUCGCUUGGAAGGAGAAACAGCCAGAUGUGUGAUUAUAUAUUGAUUAUAUACCGAUUCAUGGGCUGCAACCACUGGUCGGGCUGGAUGAAACUUGGAAGGAACAUAAUUGGAAAGCUGGUGAUAACAAAAUUGGAGGAAGAGGAUAGCUGAGAUCAACCUUGAUUGCCUUUUAAGUCGAGUAAAUUGGAGGACAGGCUGCCCAGUAUCUUAGUUCUUCUAAGACUGCUUGCAAACCAGAAAGUGUGAACAGUGUGAUGACGAAUGCUCUUAAGACCAGGAGUUCAAGCUUAACUCCCAACCCCUUGAGUGUGGGCUAGACUUAGUGACCUGCUUCUAAGGAAUAGAGUAUGGAAAGAGGAAAAUAGCAACAUUACAGGAGAGAAAC
rnacentral:lncRNA from 10 species